AUUGAAACACUUUUAGCUUAGAAAAGAGCAGAGCAGAGGGUAACUAGCUCAGAAUUUUUAGUUGGUGGCAUGUAUUUAUGAGAUGGAAAAGUCUAUGUCUGAGAGGGGACAGAGGCUUAUCUUCUAGCGUGGAAAGGAGAAGGGGAUGGAAGAAUCACUGAAGAGGAGAAUACAGACCAAUCUCACUCCCGUGACCCCACCCAGAAGUGAUUCAAUGCAAGAGGACAGCUUGGAUCUCCUAUGACUUCAUCUCUGCCCCAACCCAUCAGCAGCAAGCACUCAUUGCCUAGCAACCACCGGCCCUUACCCCACACUGUCUUUGAAAAGCUCCUGCUUAUGAGCCUUGGAUGAGACUGAUUUGAGUGUUAACUCCACCUCCCACGUGGCGUGGCUGGCCUCCUGUCUGUGAAACUCUUUCUUUAUUGCAGUGUUGUGGUCUUUAUUUGCGCAGUGGGCAGGAAGAACCCCUUGGGUAGUUACAAAAGGUCACCUGGAAAUGAAGUGACAACUAAUUAGGUAUGAAUCAACAUGGUGAGCAAAGGUCAGGGGAGAGGUUCACACUGCGGUGAUGGAUGGUCUCAAGGGGUUGGGUCGGAUUUGCAGUAAAAGAGAUUUUCCUGGAAUCUGAGUGAUGAAGAAUAACUUGCAAAUGCAAACUUGUUUCUCCUGCUGAUGCGUUCCUAGUCUAUAAUUGAAGAAGUGUGGGUCUGCUGUCUCAUUAUG
rnacentral:lncRNA from 1 species